GGCUCUGUGGUGAAGUUCAUGGUGGGUUGCAAGCCCAUUGAUGUGCAUUAGUCAUGCGCCGGGGCCU
rnacentral:tRNA from 1 species